AUUUAUAUAGCUUAUAAAGAGCACAAUAUUGAAGCUAUUGAGGAAACUUCUUGUUUAUAAAUA
rnacentral:tRNA from 1 species